rnacentral:rRNA from 1 species
AUUGAACGCUGGCGGAAUGCUUUACACAUGCAAGUCGAACGGCAGCACGGGGCAACCUGGUGGCGAGUGGCGAACGGGUGAGUAAUACAUCGGAACGUGCCCAGUCGUGGGGGAUAACGUAGCGAAAGCUACGCUAAUACCGCAUACGAUCCAAGGAUGAAAGCGGGGGAUCGCAAGAACUCGCGCGAUUGGAGCGGCCGAGGGCAGAUUAGGUAGUUGGUGGGGUAAAGGCUCACCAAGCCGACGAUCUGUAGCUGGUCUGAGAGGACGACCAGCCACACUGGGACUGAGACACGGCCCAGACUCCUACGGGAGGCAGCAGUGGGGAAUUUUGGACAAUGGGCGCAAGCCUGAUCCAGCCAUUCCGCGUGCAGGAUGAAGGCCUUCGGGUUGUAAACUGCUUUUGUACGGAACGAAAAGGUGCCUUCUAAUACAGGGCGCUCAUGACGGUACCGUAAGAAUAAGCACCGGCUAACUACGUGCCAGCCGCCGCCGUAACAC